AAGUUACAAGUCAUGGUCACAUCAAAUCACACUUAAUGACUCAUGGUGAUUUGCUUAACAACUACAGCUGGAACUGAUGUAAAUCGAUGUGCUCAUGUGAUAUUUCAUUUAAUGAUCAUGCCACUCAGUGAGAGAGUUGCCAGUCCAAACUGCAAUGGGGAAGUGAACACUAUCGUUGUCCUGCAGUCUCCGGGAGCGGCUAUCUGGAGCACAGUGCACAUAGAUACACAAAUGGUCAUAUUUGGGUGAAGAAAGGACGAUAUACAGCAGCAUUUUUGGAUUCAGUCAGCAAGGUACCUGAUUCUGUCAGCCAGGUACCCUCAAGAACAUACAUAGUUUCCGCUCCUGCUAUAUCAAGCAUUACUUCUUCUGCACUAUUUAAAUAGUUAUCAGAAUAUGGAAAGCUAAGUAAAUAUUGAGUGUAGUAGGCUACAAUAUGAAGAACAUACUUAUCUAUUUUUUAAAAAAUUGA